AGAGUUUGAUCCUGGCUCAGAUUGAACGCUGGCGGAACGCUUUACACAUGCAAGUCGAACGGUAACGUGGGGAGGAGCUUGCUCCGCCCCGACGACGAGUGGCGAACGGGUGAGUAAUACAUCGGAACGUGUCCGCUCGUGGGGGACAACCAGCCGAAAGGUUGGCUAAUACCGCAUGAGUUCUACGGAAGAAAGAGGGGGACCCGCAAGGGCCUCUCGCGAGCGGAGCGGCCGAUGACUGAUUAGCCAGUUGGUGAGGUAACGGCUCACCAAAGCAACGAUCAGUAGCUGGUCUGAGAGGACGACCAGCCACACUGGGACUGAGACACGGCCCAGACUCCUACGGGAGGCAGCAGUGGGGAAUUUUGGACAAUGGGCGCAAGCCUGAUCCAGCUAUUCCGCGUGUGGGAUGAAGGCCCUCGGGUUGUAAACCACUUUUGUAGAGAACGAAAAGACAUCUUCGAAUAAAGGAUGUUGCUGACGGUACUCUAAGAAUAAGCACCGGCUAACUACGUGCCAGCAGCCGCGGUAAUACGUAGGGUGCGAGCGUUAAUCGGAAUUACUGGGCGUAAAGGGUGCGCAGGCGGUUGAGUAAGACAGAUGUGAAAUCCCCGAGCUUAACUCGGGAAUGGCAUAUGUGACUGCUCGACUAGAGUGUGUCAGAGGGAGGUGGAAUUCCACGUGUAGCAGUGAAAUGCGUAGAUAUGUGGAAGAACACCGAUGGCGAAGGCAGCCUCCUGGGACAUAACUGACGCUCAGGCACGAAAGCGUGGGGAGCAAACAGGAUUAGAUACCCUGGUAGUCCACGCCCUAAACGAUGUUAACUAGUUGUUGGGAUGUAACAAUCUCAGUAACGCAGCCAACGCGAGAAGUUAACCGCCUGGGAAGUACGGUCGCAAGACUAAAACUCAAAGGAAUUGACGGGGACCCGCACAAGCGGUGGAUGAUGUGGAUUAAUUCGAUGCAACGCGAAAAACCUUACCUACCCUUGACAUGUCAGGAAGCUCUUGUAAUGAGAGCGUGCCCGCAA
rnacentral:rRNA from 1 species